rnacentral:rRNA from 1 species
AUUGAACGCUGGCGGCAGGCCUAACACAUGCAAGUCGAACGAGUGGCGGACGGGUGAGUAAUGUCUGGGAAACUGCCCGAUGGAGGGGGAUAACUACUGGAAACGGUAGCUAAUACCGCAUACCAUCGGAUGUGCCCAUAUGGGAUUAGCUAGUAGGUGGGGUAAAGGCUCACCUAGGCGACGAUCGCUAGCUGGUCUGAGAGGAUGACCACCCGAACUGGAACUGAGAAACGGUCCAGCCGCGUACGGGAGGCAGCAGUGGGGAAUAUUUCACAUGUGGCGCAAGCCGGAUGCGGCCAUGCCGCGUGGAUGAAGAAGACCUGCGGGUUGUAAAGUACUUUCAGCGGGGAGGCGGUACCCGCAGAAGAAGCACCGGCUAACUCCGUGACAGCAGCCGCGGUAAUUC